rnacentral:sRNA from 15 species
UGAUAGCUGGCGCGGAAGUUUAGCGCGUAGAAUAGCCGCACUGCGAAGCGCGGAAGCCGGUGAGAGCCCGGCGCGGUCGCGCCACUGUAAUCGGCAUCACAAGCCGAAAGCCAGACCUGAGCUUCGCAUCAUUCCUCUG